CGAGGCUCCGGGCCCGUCGAGCAGCUCCUGGGUGGAGCGGUCGGUCUGUCUCCUUCGAAGCCGAGCCUUGAGGACUGCUUUAUCGGAAAGGUUGAUAAACGUUCUCUGAAGUACCCGAUUCGUGUCCAAAAAAAGGUAACCCACGUUGCCGUGAUGCCGGUGUUUUGUUUUCAAAGCUCUACAGCCACCGCUACAGAUCAGAAGGCUGUUUCAUGAUGAGAAAAAAAAUCACUUCUGGGUACCUGACCCCGCAGUCACAGAGGAUUUCAGGAGCUGAGGUGUCACUUCCAACUGAAAAUAUGAACAGAUGCUGCCCACAGAGAUUCACUGGCAUAUGGAUGAAAAGUAGGCACCCCAAUUUAACUAUUUAUCUAUUUAUUUAUUUUACUAAACGCUAUCUGAAAGAAACCACAUGGUCUAGAGGUAACAUGCCAUUUGUCUCUUGCUAAACAUGGUACAAAGAUCAAUUUGGACUCAGGUACAGUGCUAUUUAAAGUAAACCAUAGUGAACGUGAGCCUUAGAUCAAGGAUGUCAUUGAGGGGUUUCAGCCGUCAAGACAGUACACUGUUUACAUGACUAACAUAGGGAAAGUGCAGUCCACACUGAGAAGGAAGAAAUGAAAAGUCAUCCAUGUGGUUAAUUACAAUUAAGACACCAACACAAUGAGACCCCGGUUAAAUACACAUAUAGCAGAAUGAGCAAUUAGUAUGUGCUGUAGAGGUAAAGCUCUGCAGCAAACCAAACUGAAGUUGCAGUGCAGCGUAGCAGGAAACUCAAAAGUGCCCUCUCCUCUGCGUGCCUCACCUGUGUGGCAGCUAUGGGGAUAGCGUGCCCCAGAGAACCAGGAGAACAGAUCGUGUGCUUGAAGGUAACUGGACCUCCUGGUACAGCUUAGGGAAGGAUCACAUCAUGUAGUUGGUUUUUAAGCUCAGGGAAAACUACCUCAGGCGUAUCACUUAUGAAAGGAAAUAAAUGAGAGCAAACCACAGAAGUGAGAACUGAGCUAUGCAAGAGUAGUUCUAUCCCGGCCUUUUUUGAGGAAGUUAUUCAAUGUUUCACUGUAAAAAUUGAAAUAAAACAAGUCAAACCACUUGCAACAUAAGGAGUUAUCAACGGCCAACGUUUUGCAGACAGUUUGUCACUUCAGCUGCAGCUGAGACAGGGCUUCUACUGCAAACAACUUCCAGCUCAAAGCAAAACAGUUUGCAAAGCUAACGCUGAACAAAUGCAAAGAGUUUCUGUGUUGAGGCAAAAGCUUGGGCUCAACAGUUCCCAGGCUUACAGAAAGGUCCCAGAAAUGUCAACGUGUAUUUUUUUUCUAAAUCUCCAAGGAAGGCAGGCCUCCCAGAGGCACCGCACCAGCACUGGUGGUUGUUGGGGGUAGAAACAAAAAAAGAACAAGCAAAUGGGCCUGAUAGAAAUGCUUCAGGUGGGGUAAAGGAAGCAGACAGAACUGAACUGCAAUGGACUUCACAUGCCCAGCUUUUUUCAACUCUAAGAAACGUACCCAGUUCAGAUCUGUGCUCCCUUCCUUCCCACCAAACUUUGUUUGACUUAAGCAAGUCAAACAAAGAGACUUUGUUCAAUGCCGGCAGAGCUCUGACAGAUUGCAGCAAGAUAAGCACAGCAGAGGGCGCAGCUGAAGCGCCGAGACAAAUUCAUGUCAUAAAACUGCAGCGGGUAAGAGACGCCUCACUGCUUUCUCCGGAUCUCUGCAGCAGGACCUUAUGAAACACCCGGGCAGGAAUCCCCUAUCGACCUUGCCAACCAGUUGGCAAACCAGUUUGAGUCAGAAGCCCCUCAGCAGCUGCUCCGCAGCUAAACACACUGAUCUUGCCAGUCAGGAGGCAGCACAGGUGUUGCACACUUGGGUUGUUUCUCGUAUCUCUGACCAAGUUGUGAGAAAUGAGCAGCAGAGUGUGAAACGUUCUCCUCCCACAGCACGCACACAGCAGCUACGCUGACAGAGCAGGAGGGGAACACGGCGUUAUAUUCCUUACUGAGGAAUGCUCACGCGCUGUGUAAGUGGUGUGAUAAUUAAAUUGUUACUCACAUUGACAAGUGGGUGGAAGAGGCUGAAAACCUCUGAUGCAGUUUGCCACAGGCAAUUAUAGAUUUACUAGCGAUGCAUCUGUCACACAGAAAGAUGGGCUUGGACUCAAGUAUCUGCAAUAGCUCAACUUUAACCCACUUCCCAGAAGUAAAAUGGAAUGAGCAGACUGCUGUGCAUCCACAGCACAGCACAGACCCACCUCCAACCUACCGCAUGGGAACAGCUGUACAAUUUCACAUACUCAAGUAUUCAUCCAAGCAAGAACUUGUAGACGUUAAUCCUUAUCCAAAGAUCUGGGAAUUUCCGCCCUAGAAAUUCUGACAUUACAACCCAGUUAUGUAGAACUUGCAAGGCCUCAAGUUCUGCCAUCUGCCAUCUCACUUGGUCACUGCACAACAAAAGGAUCAUUGGCUCAGCAGAGGUGAUCUGACAGCAGAAGCAAGUAAAUACCUAAUCGCUCCCUUCACUAAGCAUCUGUCACUCACAAGGACUGACCCACCUGCCUGCCUAUUUAAAUUUUCCUCUCAAGCUCACAACUGACAGUAAUUUGUCUUAACAAACCUGGGAACCGACAGUGAAAAACUGAACCUUGUGUCCUAUGGUACCAGCCCUAUUUCACUAUCAGCCACGUGUGAAACAAGUUGGUAGUGUUUAGACCUCUCCACAUAGAGGGAAGAUGAUAAGGAAGAAUGGAGGGGAAAAAAAGGAAACAAAAGGUAACUUCUACUAGCAACACGUUUUGGAAUGACCAACAUUUGUUGUGCCAAUCCCACUCCUAGGAGAAACCCAUGCACCUGGCACCCCACCACAGUCUUAAGCUCUUAAAUUCUUCAGAAAUGAACUUUUGCUGGAGAAACCUGAAGGCAUGCCAGGGGUCUGUGUUCCUUCUGCUUCCUGCAGAAGCCUGUAGGAAACAGCAGUCAGCAGGGACAUGCACAAAGGACAAGACACAAAGACAACUGGAUUUUUUUCCCCAAAGACAUUUUAUUAGAGAAAAAUCAAAAAAAUUCCCCAACCAGUCAUUACAAGGUCAAUCCGUAUAAGCCCCCCCACAUCUGUUCCCCAUAACCACACCAGCACAGUGAGGAUCAAUGUGCAGCACUACAGUGAUGAUACCAUAACAGUCACCUGGGGAACUUAAGCCUUCACCACCAUUUCUGAGAGAAAGGUAUUUUUGUAUUCUGAUGAGGAUGGGGAGAGGAUGUCAUAACAGAUAAGACAGGGAAAGCCCCUUGCGUGGACUGUCUUUUCAACUUGUAUAAAAACAAAAAUCAAAAAUCCUUAACAGAUCUACAGGCUUCAAACUGUAAGACCUAAAGCUACCUUCAAAUGACUUGUAAUUCAGUCCUGUGGCAUCACUGUUCUGCACUGUAACAGCUCUCAAAAGUGUACAAGGAUAGCAUGGAUGCAAAGGGAGGGGAGUGGACUUGGAUCCUUAAUAUAGCUUUAUAAAAAAAAUAAAAAUUAAAAGCAGUAUAAGCACUUGCCAGUAGAACAAACUACUCCAGGAUCUCAGCAAUGGCAAAGAAGAGACAAAGCAGUAACUUAUUUAGAUGACUGUAUGUCCUCUUUUCACCUUCUUUCCCAUAGCUUCGCCCUGGACAACCGUUUCCCUCCUGGUAAUAGAUCAGAUUCCAAUUAGAAAUCAUGAAUGCUUUUUUUUUUUUUCUUUUUUUCUUUUUAAAACGUGGUAGGCUGGGCCCAGGACUGCAGUAACCUUUUCCCAUGUCAGAAGGGUCGAGGCACCUGAGACCAGAAAGCUGUGCUGCCAAACCAUUUGCUCUGAAGAAAUGCAGAGAAGGCUUAAGAAUUUUAAUCACUGCCUAAAAACUGCAGCAUGCGAGCCCAAGAAGUUAACCUGUCUGUUUUUCCUCAGCUUUGCUUAUUCAACACAACUGCAUCUGGACAGCUGAGAAACAAUGAAUGGCUGUUUGCUCUCACUGCGGUACCGCACAGAGUAACAGUUUGGUGGAGGGCACAGAUCAGACAGCCCUCAGAUGUAGCAUCAACGUGUUCCUACUCUGCACUGCUUUUCAAGUUCAUUCACGUCCUUCCAACAACUCCUCUGCCAACUUGCAAAGCAACCCUUGCAUCCUCAGACCUCAAAGUAGGGUACAGGCCUUUGUGCCGCACAAGGCACAGUGACAGCAGCCCACCUUGCUUUGAUGUCUCAGAAAACGAGGUUCAGCCACCUGCCUGCUGAAUAAAUGUUACACUGUUAGAUGAGAAAAGUCUCCUGCUCAAUUAAAAAUCAAGU